GAUGAAGAACGUAGCGAAAUGCGAUACGUAAUGUGAAUUGCAGAUUUCAGUGAAUCAUCGAAUCUUUGAACGCACAUUGCGCCCGCUAGUAUUCUGGUGGGCAUGCCUGUUCGAGCGUCAUUUCAACCAUCAAGCCCUAGGCUUGCGUUGGAGCCCUGCGGCUGCCGCAGGCUCCCAAAUCCAGUGGCGGGCUCGUCGUCGUACCGAGUGCAGUAAACAUCCUCGCUCAGGGAACGUGACGGGUUCUUGCCGUGAAACCCCCCACAUAUCAAGGUUGACCUCGGAUCAGGUAGGAAUACCCGCUGAACUUAAGCAUAUCAAUAAGCGGAGGA
rnacentral:misc_RNA from 1 species